GAUCUCGAAAACAAAUAUGACCCCACAGGCUCAGCGGUAAAUCACAUGUGGACGCCUAAACAACUACGGGACAAACGCAGGGAAUUAUUACCUCUUACCAAACAUCUGAUACAGACUUGGGAUCUCCUACACCAUGCACAUAGAACAGAGAGCAAGUUCUCACCUUGGGCUCCCAUCACGGCUCUAACAUCUGUAUCACCAUGGCUGUCCCUAGACAAAUGGAGGGAACUUGGGGUAACCCGUAUUAUCGAUAUAUGUCACCAGGGGGCUAUAUUACCCUUCCCAGAACUUCAAAAAAGAUAUAAGCUACCACCAUCCUAUAUCUUCCUGUAUCUCCAACUAAAAAGCUUAAUUGCUAAUAUGGUAGCACCUCCAACAUCACACACAUACACCUCAGACCAUGACUUACUAUUACUGUACGAUAGGUGCCACAAAUCACUGAUCAGACCUAAGAUGCUCUCACUGAGCUACACAGCACUAAGAAAUCAGGUACCAAACCCAGAGUUCAAAUACCGACCACAAUGGGAAAAAGAAUGCACAAUGUCCUUCACGGACAAGCAAUGGACAGAAUCGCUACAAGCCCUGAAAGGAAUCACUACAUGCUACUCACAUGUCGAAGCACAUAAAAAACUAAUCUACAGGUGGUACUACACACCUGACAAACUUCACAGAAUUUAUCCCCACACCUCGGCGGACUGCUGGAGAUGUGAGACAGACCGAGGCACAAUGACCCAUAUAUGGUGGAAUUGCCCGAAUAUUACACCCCUAUGGACGGAAGUCCACAAGACAUGGCAAGAUUUGGGAAUGAAUCAACUGCCACUCACGCCCCAACUGGCUCUUUUUCUCCAAUUCCCCAGUUCCAUACCUUACACGGACAAACACUUAACAGUGAUAAUGAUCCUGGCAACCCGCAACCUCAUUGCGUGCCACUGGAAAAAAACAGAAUGCCCCACCACCACAAUGCUACAACACAAAAUUAGACAAUACCUCCGAUAUGACUUGCUCAUGGCUAACACUCCCAAACAGGUUUCUACCACACUACUUAACUGGCAAAGGUGGACAGACUGGGUAGCUCUUAAGGGGACCACAGACAAGACCUCGAGUAGCACUAUAGAUUGAUACCAAUGAUUAUAGUCUAUUGAUAGUCAGAACAUUCUAGGCUUGUCCACCGGCCACCAAUAUAACACAAGACAACAGAAUAGGGCAAAACAUAACAUAACAAAAAAUAGCACAAAAAUAAUCAGGAGUCAAAAGACUGUAUUGCACAACAAUGUAAAACAAUGUAUUGCAUAACAAUGUAAAACAAUGUAACUAACUGCACCUUUAUACCUCUGUAUUUUGGUACCUAAGAACAUGUAUGUAUAUAUGCUAACAUAAUAUGUUCAACCAGACAACCUGAAAGAAAAGUGUACUUGAAUGUCCCCCCCUCCCCUCCCCUCUUCCUUUCUGUACCCUAACCCGAAAUUCUUUCAAUAAAAUACAAAUUGGAAAAAAAAA